GUGGGGAAUCUUGCGCAAUGGGCGAAAGCCUGACGCAGCCAUGCCGCGUGAAUGAUGAAGGUCUUAGGAUUGUAAAAUUCUUUCACCGGGGACGAUAAUGACGGUACCCGGAGAAGAAGCCCCGGCUAACUUCGUGCCAGCAGCCGCGGUAAUACGAAGGGGGCUAGCGUUGCUCGGAAUUACUGGGCGUAAAGGGCGCGUAGGCGGACAGUUUAGUCAGAGGUGAAAGCCCAGGGCUCAACCUUGGAAUUGACUUUGAUACUGGCUGUCUUGAGUACGGGGGAGGUGAGUGGAACUCCGAGUGUAGAGGUGAAAUUCGUAGAUAUUCGGAAGAACACCAGUGGCGAAGGCGACUCACUGGCCCGUUACUGACGCUGAGGCGCGAAAGCGUGGGGAGCAAACAGGAUUAGAAACCCCUGUAGUCC
rnacentral:rRNA from 1 species